UGGGGAAUAUUGCACAAUGGGCGAAAGCCUGAUGCAGCGACGCCGCGUGAGGGAUGACGGCCUUCGGGUUGUAAACCUCUUUCAGCAGGGAAGAAGCGAAAGUGACGGUACCUGCAGAAGAAGCGCCGGCUAACUACGUGCCAACAGCCGCGGUAAUACGUAGGGCGCAAGCGUUGUCCGGAAUUAUUGGGCGUAAAGAGCUCGUAGGCGGUUAGUCGCGUCUGCUGUGAAAACUCGAGGCUCAACCUCGGGCUUGCAGUGGGUACGGGCUGACUAGAGUGCGGUAGGGGGUGACUGGAAUUCCUGGNGUAGCGGUGGAAUGCGCAGAUAUCCAGGAGGAACACCGAUGGGCGAAGGCAGGUCACUGGGCCGCAACUGACGCUGAGGAGCGAAAGCAUGGGGAGCGAACAGGAUUAGAUA
rnacentral:rRNA from 1 species